rnacentral:misc_RNA from 1 species
UAGCCAUGAUUCACCUCUCUCACAGGUGGGUGGUGGUCAGGCGCGCAUGAGGUUGCAGCCUCGCAUGCGCCGCCU